rnacentral:rRNA from 1 species
UUGAACGCUGGCGGCAGGCCUAACACAUGCAAGUCGAGCGCGAAAGGUUUUCGGACUGAGUAAAGCGGCGGACGGGUGAGUAACGCGUGGGAAUCUGCCCAGUAGUGGGGGACAACAGUCGGAAACGACUGCUAAUACCGCAUACGCCCUACGGGGGAAAGGGGGGGAUCUUCGGACCUCUCGCUAUUGGAUGAGCCCGCGUCGGAUUAGCUAGUUGGUAGGGUAAAGGCCUACCAAGGCUACGAUCCGUAACUGGUCUGAGAGGAUGAUCAGUCACACUGGAACUGAGACACGGUCCAGACUCCUACGGGAGGCAGCAGUGGGGAAUAUUGGACAAUGGGGGCAACCCUGAUCCAGCCAUGCCGCGUGUGUGAAGAAGGCCAUAGGGUUGUAAAGCACUUUCAGUGGGGAGAAAGGUUUGUCACCUAAUACGUGAUGAAAUUGAUGUUACCCACAGAAGAAGCACCGGCUAACUCCGUGCCAGCAGCAGCCGCGG